UACAGGGGGGGCAAGCGUUGUUCGGAAUUACUGGGCGUAAAGGGCUCGUAGGCGGCCAACUAAGUCACACGUGAAAUCCCCAGGCUUAACCUGGGAACUGCGUGUGAUACUGGAUGGCUUGAAUUCGGGAGAGGGAUGCAGAAUUCCAGGUGUAGCGGUGAAAUGCGUAGAGAUGUGGAGGAACACCGAUGGCGAAGGCAGCCCCCUGGGCUAACACUGACGCUCAUGCACGAAAGCGUGGGGAGCAAACAGG
rnacentral:rRNA from 1 species